rnacentral:lncRNA from 1 species
GGUUCCUAUUUUGAUUCAUAAAGAUGGGUUUGAGCUUAGUUAUAAUGAUUUAAAAUUAACGGUCCAAAACUACAAUUACGUUUGCACCAACCUAAUACUAUCAUUGUUGCCUUGGAGCCACUGGUGAACUGUGUGACUCUCCAGCAUCAUAUACGGAAGGCUUUAAAUUCUUUAAAGUAGAAAUUAAGGCAAGUUUUCAUAAAGUAGUAAUUUUUAAAGACAGAGUCAAGAAAGAGAGCUGAGUUCUGUUUUAAAAUCUGAUGUCACUUGUAUCCUAAGAAUGAAUACAAUAUAUUUUGUAUAUUGCACAUUGGUAACAAUUAUGAUGUCAUUUAUUAUUUGAAUUUAAAAGAGGAUGCUGAAUGGAGCUUUUUUCUGUUUUCUUGGAAGUUUAGUUGAAGCCCUAAAGCAGAGAAAAUAAGCAAAAGAUGCCUCCGCAUGCUAAAAAGAAGUGCCUGACAUGUCUACGCUGGAUCUACUGAGAGAGAUUAGAUUCUGUCUGAUAUAAUAGGCAUCAAAACAAUCACUCAUCUCCAGCCACCAUCAGCCUAUACAUGCAGGCCCAGGGAAGGAUAAAGGGAAGCGGUUAUGCUUUCUGAACUUCGAACCUGCAUAGAGCUCUUCUGCAAGACAAGCUUUGCAAAUCCCACUUGACGGCAAUGUGGUGUAAGUUGAUGGUUUGUGAAGACAGAUUUUAGAAAAAGAAGCAUGGCAUUUUCUGGAAGAUAUAUAACGUUUUGAAGAGGAAGAGACUCUUCAGCAGAACUCCGACCAGCAUUUCUCCAAGCCUCUACCCACUGGUUGGCAAGAAUACCUUUAACUAAGUUUCCAGUCCAGCAUUUCUCCCAAGCUGCUGCCUGCUGGUGAGCAAGAACACCUUUAACAGAGCUGGGGUUAAGCCUCCACCAAAGUGGCUUCUGCUUCUGUGCCCUCCAUGGAGCUGCCACUGGUAUCUGUCAAGAGGCGGCUGCAUCAUCAGAACAGUAGCUCCAUUUGGCAGACUUUGCACCCUGACUGAACUGCAC